UCCGAUGCCAUGAAGUCAGAGGAGAUCACAGC
rnacentral:piRNA from 1 species